rnacentral:rRNA from 1 species
UUCGUAGGGACUUAAUACGUGCGAAGCGCCGAAGCCGCGAGGCGACGGCGUUCUCGCCGGAUGUAGGAACCGACCCGGGGACCGCCGGGGCAACCCGGCGCCCCCGAGACGGGGCGAACCACGGUGAAAUGACGGAUCGUCGGCCCCGCGCCGGCGACUCGCCGAAUGAGUUUCUGACCUAUCAACUCGAGACGGCGGGGUAGAGGCCCGCCGCGGUAACGACGGGUAACGGGGAAUCAGGGUUCGAUUCCGGAGAGGGAGCCCGAGAAACGGCUACCACUUCCAAGGAAGGCAGCAGGCGCGCAACUUACCCUAAUCUCGAUUCGAGGAGGUAGUGACAAGAAAUACCGAUGCGGGACCCUACGGGUGCCGCGUUCGGAAUGAGUACGAUUCGAACCACCUAACGAGGAACGAUCGGAGGGCAAGUCUGGUGCCAGCAGCCGCGGUAAUUCCAGC